CCUACGGGAGGCAGCAGUGAGGAAUAUUGGUCAAUGGGCGGAAGCCUGAACCAGCCAAGUCGCGUGAGGGAUUAAAGCCCUGCGGGUCGUAAACCUCUUUUGCCGGGGAUCAGAGGUCCGGACGUGUCCGGGCCGGGAGAGUACCCGGAGAAAAAGCAACGGGCAACUCCGUGCCAGCAGCCGCGGUAAUACGGGGGAUGCGAGCGUUCUCCGGAUUUAUUGGGGUUAAAGGGUGGGUAGGCGGGCAUUUAAGCCGGCGGUCAAAUGUCGGGGGUCAACCCCGGCCUGCCGUCGGAACUGGGUGCCUAGAGUGGGCGAGAAGUAUGCGGAAGGCGUGGUGUAGCGGUGAAAUGCAUAGAGAUCACGCAGAACCCCGAUUGCGAAGGCAGCAUACCGGCGCCCUACUGACGCUGAGGCACGAAAGUGCGGGUAUCGAACAGGAUUAGAUACCCUGGUAGUC
rnacentral:rRNA from 1 species